rnacentral:rRNA from 1 species
AGUGAACGCUGGCGGUAGGCCUAACACAUGCAAGUCGAACGGCAGCACAGUAAGAGCUUGCUCUUACGGGUGGCGAGUGGCGGACGGGUGAGGAAUACAUCGGAAUCUACUUUUUCGUGGGGGAUAACGUAGGGAAACUUACGCUAAUACCGCAUACGACCUACGGGUGAAAGGAGGGGAUCUUCGGACCUUGCGCGAUUGAAUGAGCCGAUGUCGGAUUAGCUAGUUGGCGGGGUAAAGGCCCACCAAGGCGACGAUCCGUAGCUGGUCUGAGAGGAUGAUCAGCCACACUGGAACUGAGACACGGUCCAGACUCCUACGGGAGGCAGCAGUGGGGAAUAUUGGACAAUGGGCGCAAGCCUGAUCCAGCCAUACCGCGUGGGUGAAGAAGGCCUUCGGGUUGUAAAGCCCUUUUGUUGGGAAAGAAAAGCAGCAGGUUAAUACCCCGCUGUUCUGACGGUACCCAAAGAAUAAGCACCGGCUAACUUCGUGC